CAUGCGCAGUGCUGGUCUGUGACUGAAGCUGCUCAUCGCGGGUGAGAGGAUGUCGAGCGGAGCAAACUAACAGGGUUAGUGGGUGUGUGAGGAGGAAUGGAGCCAGCGGAGUGGGCAGGGAGGCUUCAUAAAGACACAGUGCAGGCCGCAGACCCCAAAUAACAAGCGAGUUAGAGGAGGGUAAACCUGAGGGAGAUGAGAAACCAAAACCAAACAUCACGUCAAAAUCUGAAAGUCACUUGUUUCACCAGGACCUGAAUAUUACCAGCCUUUGAAAAUACCAGCAUCUAUUGUGAUCCCCAGCUGCCUGUGGAGAAGAUGAUGUUUGACCUUCUUGAAUCGCUGCAGUCCAUGUGGUGAAGAUGAUCCCACAAUGCUGUUAGGGGAGUCGAAGGGGAGGAUUUGCAGUCGGGAAACUGAAACCAAACAUCACAUCAGGAUCUGACUGAGCUGCCCAAUUUAUCAUAACCUGAAUAUCAUCGGAUUUUGAACAUGGAAGGAAAAAGCACCGUUCACAGUGGGGAGAAGCCGUACACGUGUUCUGUGUGUGGACGAGGCUUCAGCCAAUCACCUGGCCUGUCAAGACAUAAAUGUAGUCAUAGCGAUGAGAAACCAGAGGGUGGUGGGAGUCUAGAAAUCACUGCCUGAAAGCGUGUAAAUGAUUUGGGUGGUUGAGUCAGAAACUCUUCUAACAUUUAAGAACUAUUAAAAUGUUCA